UACGGAGGAUCCGAGCGUUAUCCGGAUUUAUUGGGUUUAAAGGGUGCGUAGGCGGCUUUUUAAGUCAGCGGUGAAAUUUUGCAGCUUAACUGUAACAGUGCCGUUGAUACUGGGGAGCUAGGAUUUGGUUGCUGUGGGUGGAAUGUGUGGUGUAGUGGUGAAAUGCUUAGAGAUCACACAGAAUAUCGAUUGCGAAGGCAGCUCACAAAGCCAAGAUUGACGCUGAGGCACGAAAGUGUGGGGAUCAAACAGGAUUAGA
rnacentral:rRNA from 1 species